CAUGCAGUCGAGCGGUAGCACAGAGAGCUUGCUCUCGGGUGACGAGCGGCGGACGGGUGAGUAAUGUCUGGGAAACUGCCUGAUGGAGGGGGAUAACUACUGGAAACGGUAGCUAAUACCGCAUAACGUCGCAAGACCAAAGAGGGGGACCUUCGGGCCUCUUGCCAUCAGAUGUGCCCAGAUGGGAUUAGCUAGUAGGUGGGGUAACGGCUCACCUAGGCGACGAUCCCUAGCUGGUCUGAGAGGAUGACCAGCCACACUGGAACUGAGACACGGUCCAGACUCCUACGGGAGGCAGCAGUGGGGAAUAUUGCACAAUGGGCGCAAGCCUGAUGCAGCCAUGCCGCGUGUAUGAAGAAGGCCUUCGGGUUGUAAAGUACUUUCAGCGAGGAGGAAGGCAUUGUGGUUAAUAACCGCAGUGAUUGACGUUACUCGCAGAAGAAGCACCGGCUAACUCCGUGCCAGCAGCCGCGGUAAUACGGAGGGUGCAAGCGUUAAUCGGAAUUACUGGGCGUAAAGCGCACGCAGGCGGUCUGUCAAGUCGGAUGUGAAAUCCCCGGGCUCAACCUGGGAACUGCAUUCGAAACUGGCAGGCUAGAGUCUUGUAGAGGGGGGUAGAAUUCCAGGUGUAGCGGUGAAAUGCGUAGAGAUCUGGAGGAAUACCGGUGGCGAAGGCGGCCCCCUGGACAAAGACUGACGCUCAGGUGCGAAAGCGUGGGGAGCAAACAGGAUUAGAUACCCUGGUAGUCCACGCCGUAAACGAUGUCGACUUGGAGGUUGUUCCCUUGAGGAGUGGCUUCCGGAGCUAACGCGUUAAGUCGACCGCCUGGGGAGUACGGCCGCAAGGUUAAAACUCAAAUGAAUUGACGGGGGCCCGCACAAGCGGUGGAGCAUGUGGUUUAAUUCGAUGCAACGCGAAGAACCUUACCUACUCUUGACAUCCACGGAAUUUAGCAGAGAUGCUUUAGUGCCUUCGGGAACCGUGAGACAGGUGCUGCAUGGCUGUCGUCAGCUCGUGUUGUGAAAUGUUGGGUUAAGUCCCGCAACGAGCGCAACCCUUAUCCUUUGUUGCCAGCGGUCCGGCCGGGAACUCAAAGGAAACUGCCAGUG
rnacentral:rRNA from 1 species